rnacentral:misc_RNA from 1 species
GUUCAAUACCAUCAUGAUUUAUUUCUCUGCAGUCCAUGAUAGGUAAGCUCAUAGUUUGACAUUACCUAUCAAAACAGCCAGCUUGAAUGUGAUCCCAUUAUGGUCAAUGGUGUAUAAAUAAAUCAUUGUCAACUAAACCCUUCAAUUCUUAUUAACGAGGGCUUUCUUCAUGUGCAUUAAAAUUUUGCCCUUUUCAUCUAACUCAAAAAAAAAUUAUCAAACGAAGAAAAGACCUAUAAUGAAGAGGCAUCCUUCUCUAAUGCAGAGUACCGAUGGAGAUUAGGAAAACAAUAUUAUCCCAUAAUGACUAAAGAGGCAAGCAUUGAUCACAAAAAUAGACCAAAUCGCUGCAAUCAUAGCAAAACAUAAUAACUCAUGGCCUCAUUUUCUCUCUGAAUCCCUCCAUGUAUUCCAACCAAAUCAACUAUUACCCUAAAACAACAGAGAGCCUAUUCCAAAUGAGUCAAUAGAGAUAAAUGUGGGAAAAAAAGAAAAAAGGGCUAAUCAUUCACUAUUGUGAUAACACAUAAAACAAACAUCAGGAGGCAAAGUCCUAUGAUGCCCCCUUACCCAGAAAAGUUAUUGCCAUUAAAAUCUGCUUAGAGCUCAAAUGACUUCACUCGUGAGUGAGAAUUCUUAAUUCUUAACCUUGCAAGUAACUUUUACCCACAUUUCUCCAUUAACU